GAUGAACGCUGGCGGCGUGCCUAAUACAUGCAAGUCGAGCGAAUGGAUUAAGAGCUUGCUCUUAUGAAGUUAGCGGCGGACGGGUGAGUAACACGUGGGUAACCUGCCCAUAAGACUGGGAUAACUCCGGGAAACCGGGGCUAAUACCGGAUAACAUUUUGAACCGCAUGGUUCGAAAUUGAAAGGCGGCUUCGGCUGUCACUUAUGGAUGGACCCGCGUCGCAUUAGCUAGUUGGGGAGGUAACGGCUCACCAAGGCAACGAUGCGUAGCCGACCUGAGAGGGUGAUCGGCCGCACUGGGACGGAGACACGGCCCAGACUCCUACGGGAGGCAGCAGUAGGGAAUCUUCCGCAAUGGACGAAAGUCUGACGGAGCAACGCCGCGUGAGUGAUGAAGGCUUUCGGGUCGUAAAACUCUGUUGUUAGGGAAGAACAAGUGCUAGUUGAAUAAGCUGGCACCUUGACGGUACCUAACCAGAAAGCCACGGCUAACUACGUGCCAGCCGCCGCCGUAA
rnacentral:rRNA from 1 species